CUGACUGGAAACUGACCGUAGCUUUUCCUUGAUUUAGAUCGACUGUAAGCAAAUGGAAAAGUAACCGUCUAAGGGUAUUUUGAGAUUUUGAUAUUUAAAAUCAGUUUUCAAUUUUUUCCUAAAAAUUGGUCAGAGGUUACUUUGAAAAUACACAUAAAUUAUUGGGUCAUUUUCAAUUAUUUCCUCCCAUUUUCUCCCUCUUCGUAGCCAUAUCCCUCUCCUCAGCUACCAUUUCCCCCCCUCGCUUCAUCUUCUCUCCUCUCUCCACCACAGUUACUCACGGUGUCGCCGCCACUCCUCCCUUAUACCACUUCCAAUCAAGGCGGCGCACCAACCCAACCCCACAAAACCUAAUCAUCCUCAUUUUUUGCUCACACGCCAUACCCAGCAUCGAAAGAUCAUCGCGGCGACAGGCGCUCACGGCCACAGCACGCCCGACGGCAAGCACUAUCGUGACUGAUCUCUCUUGCCCUUUUUUUUUUUUUGCAUCAAUUCCUCUAUGUUCGCCGUUGAUGGUGUUAGACCUUGAGAGUAAAAAGAAACAACCUCGAUCUCCAUCCAGCGUCGCUCUAACCGGCGACAAUCUUCACCCCAAUGAUGUUGCUCGACCUAGUUUCAAUCUUGAUGUGGCCGGCGAUGUCGCAGGGACUCGAUCUGGCUACGGAAGACAUGACAACAGGUGGCAGUUUGAGGGUGGUGUUUUUAGUGUUGGUAGUGGAAUUUGAUUUGUUAGUGGUGGUUGUGAUGGUGAAGUAGUGGCGUUGGUUAUGGGUGGGACAGCAUGGGGUAGGGAUGUUUGUUGGUGGUUGUGGUGGUGUGGGUUUGUCGGGAAGAUCUGGUAUGACGAUUUGACUGUAUUUUUCUACGAUGUGUUGAUUUGUUUGAGGUGAUAAUGGUGUUAUCAGGAGAUGGUGGUGGUUCUGGCGGUAGUGGCGACGGUGGUGCUUUUGGAGGUGGUGGUGAUGUGAUAGUCGCAAGUUUUAGUGGUGAUCACGUAUUAUUUGGUUAACUGUGAUCAUUAAAUUUGUUAAUCUGUGACUAAUGGAAAAAAUGAAUUAUGACCAUGAAAUAAUAUUUGAUCAAAAAAAGUGUUCAUAUGUGAUCGAUAAUUUGAGAUUGUAUAAUAACCUUUGACUUGUAAUAUUUGUAAUUUAUUAGCAC
rnacentral:lncRNA from 1 species